GACGAACGCUGGCGGCGUGCUUAACACAUGCAAGUCGAACGGAGCGAAUGAAAGCUUGCUUUUAUGAGCUUAGUGGCAAACGGGUGAGUAACACGUAGACAACCUGCCGACAGGAUGGGGACAACAUUCCGAAAGGAAUGCUAAUACCGAAUGAAGCGGAGGAGAGGCAUCUCUCCUCCGUGAAAGAUGGCCUCUGAAUAUGCUAUCACCUGUCGAUGGGUCUGCGUCUGAUUAGCUAGUUGGUGAGGUAACGGCUCACCAAGGCGACGAUCAGUAGCCGGUCUGAGAGGAUGAGCGGCCACAUUGGGACUGAGACACGGCCCAGACUCCUACGGGAGGCAGCAGUGGGGAAUCUUCCGCAAUGGGCGCAAGCCUGACGGAGCAACGCCGCGUGAGUGAAGAAGGUCUUCGGAUCGUAAAGCUCUGUUGAUGGGGACGAAUGUGCGAAGGGUGAAUAAUCCUUUGCAAUGACGGUACCUAUCGAGGAAGCC
rnacentral:rRNA from 1 species